rnacentral:lncRNA from 12 species
AGACUCUGUCACCGCAGCCCUGCCCGUACACAGGGUGCCCGCACCCCUGCCCGGCCCGAGCAGGCUCCCCUGAAGGGGACGCUGAAUAAUUGCUAAUAAUCGAUCGCCUGCAUGCAUUGGGCAGCGAAAGCGGGCGCAUCCCUUGCUUGCAGCUUACUCCUUCCCCCGUUUGCCCUGUAAUCCUAUGCCACCAUGUGCAGAUAGAUGAAGGGACGUAAUUCAGCCUUCAGGCCUGGGCGGGGUUCUCGCCGUUUCAUCUUUUCCUUUCUCUUCCCUUCGCUGCUUUCUUCCCUCCCCCUUUCCAUCUCCCAGGCCCAGUGAGGUCAGCUCAUGAAUAUUGCUUCAUUUUCCUGAGAGGCGCUGGCAGCGGCGGGUACCUCGUGUGCGGUGCCCGGCUCUCCGUGCAUGCAUUUCUCCAGCCGGGCAGCGGACAAAGUGGUGCUCUCGGGGCGGCGGCGGCGGAGGAGGCGGAGGACCCCGCCGGUGAUGGACGCGCGCCCGAGAUCCCCCCCCCCCCCCCCCCCCCCCCCCCCCCCCCCCCCCCCCCCCCCCCCCCCCCCCCCCCCCCCCCCCCCCCCC